AGAAAAUGGGCCAGGCCUAACUCAUUUCCAAACCUAGCUCACGAGAGAAGGAGUGCCCAAGGCCUUAUUAGGGGCACAUUACCCUUAUCCUAAACCAAUGCAGGAUAUGAACAAUCAAGAACAACAUUCAACAUAGAGCACGCAGGCCAAUGUCCUGUUGAGCAAACUAAAAGCAAAGAUGCAACAAGUUGGCCACCUGCUAAACUGCACUUCAUUGGAUGGUUCAUACUGUUAUUAUCUUUCUAUUCAUUCAAAGUAUAUUUUCUUUUUUCUUUUUAUUUUUUUACGCAUAAAUUUUGUAUCUUAUACAUUAUAGGGUUAUGUCAAUUACCAGCUGCAGUCUGCUAUACUUAGUACCUUGUUUACACUUCAAAACUAGAAAAUCACCUGACGAAGGAGGUCUGCCUCACUGGAAAAUGGGGACCAUUGAACUAAUGUUUCUGCAUUUCUGUUCCAAUCACCAC
rnacentral:misc_RNA from 1 species